rnacentral:rRNA from 1 species
AGUGAACGCUGGCGGUAGGCCUAACACAUGCAAGUCGAGCGGCAGCACAGUAAGAGCUUGCUCUUACGGGUGGCGAGUGACGGACGGGUGAGGAAUACAUCGGAAUCUACUUUUUCGUGGGGGAUAACGGAGGGAAACUUACGCUAAUACCGCAUACGACCUACGGGUGAAAGCAGGGGAUAUUCGGACCUUGCGCGAUUGAAUGAGACGAUGUCGGAUUAGCUAGUUGGCGGGGUAAAGGCCCACCAAGGCGACGAUACGUAGCUGGUCUGAGAGGAUGAUCAGCCACACUGGAACUGAGACACGGUCCAGACUCCUACGGGAGGCAGCAGUAGGGAAUAUUGGACAAUGGGCGCAAGCCUGAUCCAGCCAUACCGCGUGGGUGAAGAAGGCCUUCGGGUUGUAAAGCCCUUUUGUUGGGAAAGAAAAGCAGCAGGUGAAUACCCCGCUGUUCUGACGGUACCUAAAGAAUAAGCACCGGCUAACUUCGUG